UCCAACUAACAUUAGGAUUCAGAAAUCUUCAAAUUUACGCCUUUACGCCCUGGAGCUAGGAUUCAGAAAGAUGGUUAUAGCAAUGCCUCAUUUUGCUUCUUGCUAGUGACGCUUUUAGGUGCCAGUCUAUGUUAGUUAAUUAAUAAUCAUAAAUCUGCUUCAGAACAUGAGGAUUUCUGCACUUUAAUUAAUCUUCAUAUGAUGUGAACUUAUGUGUUAUCUAGUAGUCCUAGCAGUAGUGGAAGUGUUAGUUUCUGCGUACUCAGUGAGGGAAAUGGGAUGUCCCCUAAAACAAGUUCUUUUGGGACAUGAACAAGAACUAGGAAUACUUGUCUCAUUGUCUGUGAUCAAUCGAUCGUUGAUCAAGUUAUUCAUUUUUAUGUACCUUUGUUC
rnacentral:sRNA from 1 species